ensembl:lncRNA
CAGAUGAGAGUGAUGCUACUGGUCCAGGGACCACACUUUGGGUAGUGCAGUGUCUAGAUGUCCUGGCCCUUGUGACACCUUCCUGGUUCCCUAUAGAGCAAUCACUUUCCCAGCAGGCAGUUGGGGAGCAGGUGGAGUAAUUUGCCCAGUUGCUGGCCCAGACUGGGGAUUCCUGAAGAUCCCAGGCCUGAUCGCCUUAGCUCUCUCCAAGGCCCAGCCCAAAGAGGAAUGCCUCAGAACACAGUUGAAGUUCAAGUUCCUGGAGGAAGAUUCUGGGAAGCUGAAAGGGAAAAUCCCACAGUUACAGCCUAGCAUCAGGAACCCCAGAGACCCACUCUUUCGUUCAGCUGUCCUCCCACCUGAGCUUGCCUCAGGGCUCCCACCUGGGUUUCUGGCCCCCUCCCACUCCUUCCAGAGUCGAGGGACCAGCUGGGACCAGCAAUCUCACCCUCCCCUGAAGCACACCGUUUUGUUGGCCUUGCUGGAGGGUCGGAGAGACUUGAUGCAAGCGUUUCAAUGCACAUUUUCCCACCCACACUUCUACAACAUUCCGCACUGCUGUAGCCUCUCUACCCAGGCCCUCUCCCCAACCCUGACCCAGUCUCCCUCCAAAGUUUCCAGAGAAUCAAUCGGACCCUACCCAGAUGGACCUCAGAACAGAGGUAGCAUGCCUCUUCCCCACACCCAGGGCCCUUGCCUGGCACUUGCAGGCCCAGUGCCAUUCUCCGCAGCCUCUCCCGAGAAAGGAUGCCCACAGCAUGGUGCAGACGGAGGCCAAGUCCCAAGGAGAGGAGGAGCUCCGACAACCCCCCACUGCACUCACAGCCCCGAGGUCUUCGGAGACCCGGGAGGCGGCGCCACUGUCCAGAACAGAAAACCGGAGGAGAGGCCAGGAGAUUCGCUUAGCGACCAGAGACCCCAGCAGAGGACCCCAGCGAGUCAGUCCACCUUCACACCGUCCUGUCCCCGGGUUGGGACUCGCCCGGCUCCACGGUCGUCAGUUCCGCGCGUAGAGCCGCUUUCCGCUGGGUACGCGCCCUCAGAGCCUCUUCGACCGCCCCAACCUCGGUCUCCUCUCAGCAGAGUCUCAAAACCUUGCCCAAGUCCCAAAACGAUCCAAGGACCGACCCAUGCGCGGCGAUGA